AGUGAACGCUGGCGGCAGGCCUAACACAUGCAAGUCGAACGGCAGCACAGUAAGAGCUUGCUCUUACGGGUGGCGAGUGGCGGACGGGUGAGGAAUACAUCGGAAUCUACUUUUUCGUGGGGGAUAACGUAGGGAAACUUACGCUAAUACCGCAUACGACCUACGGGUGAAAGCAGGGGAUCUUCGGACCUUUCGCGAUUGAAUGAGCCGAUGUCGGAUUAGCUAGUUGGCGGGGUAAAGGCCCACCAAGGCGACGAUCCGUAGCUGGUCUGAGAGGAUGAUCAGCCACACUGGAACUGAGACACGGUCCAGACUCCUACGGGAGGCAGCAGUGGGGAAUAUUGGGCAAUGGGCGAAAGCCUGAUCCAGCCAUACCGCGUGGGUGAAGAAGGCCUUCGGGUUGUAAAGCCCUUUUGUUGGGAAAGAAAAGCAGCAGGUUAAUACCCAGCUGUUCUGACGGUACCCAAAGAAUAAGCACCGGCUAACUUCGUG
rnacentral:rRNA from 1 species